GAUGAACGCUGGCGGCGUGCCUAAUACAUGCAAGUCGAGCGAAUGGAUUAAGAGCUUGCUCUUAUGAAGUUAGCGGCGGACGGGUGAGUAGCACGUGGGUAACCUGCCCAUAAGACUGGGAUAACUCCGGGAAACCGGGGCUAAUACCGGGUAACAUUUUGAACCGCAUGGUUCGAAAUUGAAAGGCGGCUUCGGCUGUCACUUAUGGAUGGACCCGCGUCGCAUUAGCAAGUUGGUGAGGUAACGGCUCACCAAGGCAACGAUGCGUAGCCGACCUGAGAGGGUGAUCGGCCACACUGGGACUGAGACACGGCCCAGACUCCUACGGGAGGCAGCAGUAGGGAAUCUUCCGCAAUGGACGAAAGUCUGACGGAGCAACGCCGCGUGAGUGAUGAAGGCUUUCGGGUCGUAAAACUCUGUUGUUAGGGAAGAACAAGUGCUAGUUGAAUAAGCUGGCACCUUGACGGUACCUAACCAGAAAGCCACGGCUAACUACGUGCCAGCCGCCGCAGUAA
rnacentral:rRNA from 1 species